UACAGAGGGUGCGAGCGUUAAUCGGAAUUACUGGGCGUAAAGCGCACGUAGGUGGCGACGUAAGUCGGGUGUGAAAGCCCCGGGCUCAACCUGGGAAUUGCAUUCGAGACUGCAUUGCUGGAGUACGGAAGAGGAAGGCGGAAUUCCCGGUGUAGCGGUGAAAUGCGCAGAUAUCAGGAGGAACACCGGUGGCGAAGGCGGCUAUCUGGACAGAAAACUGACGUGAGGCGCGAAAAGCUAGGGGAGCAAACAGG
rnacentral:rRNA from 1 species